UACGUAGGGUCCGAGCGUUGUCCGGAAUUACUGGGCGUAAAGAGCUCGUAGGUGGUUUGUCGCGUUGUUCGUGAAAACUCACAGCUUAACUGUGGGCGUGCGGGCGAUACGGGCAGACUUGAGUACUGCAGGGGAGACUGGAAUUCCUGGUGUAGCGGUGAAAUGCGCAGAUAUCAGGAGGAACACCGGUGGCGAAGGCGGGUCUCUGGGCAGUAACUGACGCUGAGGAGCGAAAGCGUGGGGAGCGAACAGG
rnacentral:rRNA from 1 species